GUGCCAGCCGCCGCGGUAAUACGGAGGGUGCAAGCGUUAAUCGGAAUUACUGGGCGUAAAGCGCACGCAGGCGGUUGAUUAAGUUGGGUGUGAAAUCCCCGGGCUUAACCUGGGAACUGCAUUUAAAACUGGUCAGCUAGAGUCUUGUAGAGGGGGGUAGAAUUCCACGUGUAGCGGUGAAAUGCGUAGAGAUGUGGAGGAAUACCGGGUGGCGAAGGCGGCCCCCUGGACAAAGACUGACGCUCAGGUGCGAAAGCGUGGGGAGCAAACAGGAUUAGAUACCCUGGUAGUCCACGCUGUAAACGAUGUCGAUUUGGAGGUUGUGCCCUUGAGGCGUGGCUUCCGGAGCUAACGCGUUAAAUCGACCGCCUGGGGAGUACGGCCGCAAGGUUAAAACUCAAAUGAAUUGACGGGGGCCCGCACAAGCGGUGGAGCAUGUGGUUUAAUUCGAUGCAACGCGAAGAACCUUACCUACUCUUGACAUCCAGAGAACUUAGCAGAGAUGCUUUUGGUGCCUUCGGGAACUCUGAGACAGGUGCUGCAG
rnacentral:rRNA from 1 species